UACGUAGGGUGCGAGCGUUAAUCGGAAUUACUGGGCGUAAAGCGUGCGCAGGCGGUUCGCCAAGUCAGGUGUGAAAUCCCCGGGCUUAACCUGGGAAUUGCGCUUGAAACUAGCGGGCUUGAGUGUGGCAGAGGGGGGUGGAAUUCCACGUGUAGCAGUGAAAUGCGUAGAUAUCAGGAGGAAUACCGAUGGCGAAGGCAGGUCUUUGGGCUGACACUGACGCUCAUGCACGAAAGCGUGGGGAGCAAACAGG
rnacentral:rRNA from 1 species